CGCCUCCCUGCAGGAUCAACGUAGCGGGCGCCCAGGAGGCCGCCCUGCCCCCUCGCAGCGUGGCAGAAGUCCGCCAGAUCUCCAGUGACCAGGAGCCCGCCCGGCACCCGCACGACCGCCCCCACCCCCGCCCUGCACGGCCCCUGGACCAGCUGCGAUGGUAUGUCAUCUCCCAAUCGUGCGGGACCGAGCACCCCAUUUCAAGAUAUAAGCAACAACCAAACAUUGGACCCAAGCACCCCAUUUCAGGAUACAAGCAACAACCAAUCAUUGGACCCUAAAGAAUAUUAUGCACGCAAUAGAGAUGGUAUUCUUAAAAGACGUCGUCAAGCCCGUGAAAAGAAACAGGCAGAAACAACACUACUUAGUGAUGAGCAAAUGUAGCACAUACACCCCUGGCCAUGACCCAAGGUUA